GAGAAGUCCACUGAACCUUAUCAUUUAGAGGAAGGAGAAGUCGUAACAAGGUUUCUGUAGGCGAACCUGUGGAA
rnacentral:rRNA from 1 species